AAAGACUUGACGGUACUUCACAACAACCUAGAGGAGCCUGUCUAGCAACCGAUACUCCACGAUUAACCCAACCUACUCUAGCCAAUCAGUCUAUAUACCGCCGUCGCCAGCUUACCUUGUGAAAGAAACAAAGUAAACAAAAUAAACCAACCCUCUAACACGACAGGUCGAGGUGUAACUAAUGAGCAGGAUAAAGAUGGGCUACAUUUUCUAAAACAGAAAAUACGGAUAAACUAUGAAACAAGAAACUGAAGAAGGAUUUAGCAGUACGUUAAGAACAAAAUACCUAACCGAAACCUGCAAUGAAGUGCGCACACACCGCCCGUCAUCCCUG
rnacentral:rRNA from 1 species